rnacentral:rRNA from 1 species
GACGUAGGGUCCGAGCGUUGUCCGGAGUUACUGGGCGUAAAGGGCGCGUAGGCGGCUCUGUGCGUCACCCGUGAAAGCCCCCGGCCCAACCGGGGAGGGUCGUCGGGGACGGGUGAGCUUGAGGGCAUCAGGGGCUGGUGGAAUUCCGAGUGUAGAGGUGAAAUUCGUAGAUAUUCGGAGGAACACCAGUGGCGAAGGCGGCUCACUGGUCCGGUACUGACGCUGAGGUGCGAAAGCGUGGGGAGCAAACAGG